AUAUCCUAUUUGCCGGAAAGACCAAAAAAGCAUCUUGGUCAUUAUCCUCGCGCCGCGCGGGGUGGCUUCCCUUCCCUUCCGAUGGACUCGCCGUCGGCUCCGCCCGCCCUCCUCCUCAGCUUCCGCGCGCUGCCCUACGGCAGCAGCAGCAGAAGAUCCCUCUGCCUCCGCUCGAAGAAGAGGCUGCAGCGAUUGCCUUCACCAGGAACCGGUCGCCGUCACGUGGCGGCGGCGGCGGUGGACAAGCUCGCGCCCCGGCCGCCGGAGGCUGGCCGUCUGAGGUGGAAGUACCGGCUAGCGUGCCGCGGGUCCUACGAUUCAGGAGACGGGCUUCCCGGGCCUCCUCCUCCGCCUCCUUCCGGUGAGAGCGUGGAUGUGUGGCGUCCUGCCCUUAGCAGAUGGGAUGUCCCAUGGCAGUGGCCAACCGUGUCCCUCACCAUGGUGGCCUGUGCACUAAGCGCUCUUUUGGCAGGAAAGGUUGAGCAGUCAGUUUUGGACUAUCUAGGCUAUCAAGCCGGAGAGGCAACUAUUGAUGAGAAGGCCGGGGUACUCUUUUUGGAACAAUUUAGUGUGACAGCAGUUGCCAUUGGAGUUAUUUUUGGCAUCACCAAUACCUUCCGACCAUUCUCGGAUGACAUAUUUCGUUAUGAUUUUAAGGAACCAUUUAAGCUGCAAAACGGCUGGCUCCUGUGGGCUGGAAUUGGCCUCUUUUUUGCUCUAGUUUCCAUUUCUUUAACUGGAGCAGUGAUGACCUUUCUGAAUGGUGAAACCACACAGAGAGAGACUGACUCGCUAGGUCUUCUAUUGCCACUGAUAGGCUCGUCGAAUAUCAGCACUGCCUGUCUGCUGGGCAUCACUGGGGUUCUUGCACCAAUUUUGGAGGAAACUGUAUUUAGAGGAUUUCUAAUGGUAUCCUUGACUAUGUGGUUUUCUACGCCAGUAUCUGUUCUGAUCACAGCUGUGGUGUUUGCCUUUGCUCAUCUUACACCAGGAGAGAUUCCCCAACUUUUUGUGCUUGGUGUGGCACUGGGAUUCUCAUAUUCUCAAACUCGGAAUCUUCUUACUCCUAUCACACAAUUCAUGCUGCUUGGAAUUCCGGAGUAAUAUUGUUACUAACCUUUCUUCAGCUGCAGGGAUAUGAUAUCAAGGAGCUGCUGCAGGCAUCUUGAAGGUUUCAUUUGGUCACCAUAGUUUUAUCUUGCACCGAUUUUGUACGUUACUGUAAAAUACAUGAACUCUUUGAAGUAUCCCCUGCUAACAAUUCAUAGUUGACGUGUCAUCUGAUCUGGUAAUUUCCUUUUGUUUUUCAAACUGCGGUUUGAUAUUUGAUCUCUUAUGAUGUCAAAGUUAAAUUCCAAUGUGA